rnacentral:rRNA from 1 species
GUGGGGAAUAUUCCGCAAUGGACGAAAGUCUGACGGAGCAACGCCGCGUGAGUGAUGAAGGUUUUCGGACUGUGAAGCUCUGUUGUUUAGGACGAAAGUGCCUGUUGCAAACAGUUACAGGUAUUGACGGUACUAAACGAGGAAGCCACGGCUAACUACGUGCCAGCAGCCGCGGUAAUACGUAGGUGGCAAGCGUUGUCCGGAAUUAUUGGGCGUAAAGAGCAUGUAGGCGGGAAUCUAAGUCUGUUGUGAAAAUGCGGGGCUCAACCCCGUAUUGCGAUGGAAACUGGGUUUCUUGAGUGCAGGAGAGGAAAGGGGAAUUCCCAGUGUAGCGGUGAAAUGCGUAGAUAUUGGGAGGAACACCAGUGGCGAAGGCGGCUUCCUGGCACAAUACUGACGCUCAUGUGCGAAAGCUAGGGCAGCGAACGGGAUUAGAAACCCUGGUAGUCC